rnacentral:lncRNA from 1 species
UUUUUUAUUUAUGUUUUAAAUUCACCCUAUUUUGAAAAAUUGCGCCGGAAACGGGAACGCAAAGGGUAUAAUUAAAUACUGCAAAGUGUAUUUUAUUUUGUAAAAAAUUAUUGGGGGUGCCAUUUCAAUAUCGCGAUUUAAAUUUGCAGUUGCCCUGCGGCCCACAAGAACAAAAUGUGACCCUAGUCACGUGAUUCUCGUUGACCUAAGCAGAAGGCAAGGUCACUGAUAAGACCACCCCCCUAUGGCUGAAGCGGUGCUAUCGGUGCAGCACCGGUUCUAGCGCCGUACCGCACCGGAAAAAAAUCCCCGCACAGAACGUCCCUGAUUCAUUUUUAUUGGUGAGUUUGCGGUGUCCCCGAUUACAAUGUGAUCGGGGCCGAGCCCUAGUUUGUUUUCUUUUCUUUUUCAUCUUGUUCGAUAUCAAAGCCAAUUGGCAACAUUGCCGACUGAAAAUAAGGGUAGGAAGUCUAGGAACUUGGGCAUGGAGCACAUGGGGCGGCUAAGAUAAUACGUUUGUCAUCUUGAAUGGCGGUGCGGAUUUUGAUGAUCCGUCAUCAGGUUUCUCCAUCAUGUGGACCACACAUUUCUUCUUUUCCAGGAGUCACACUAUCGAGCGCUAGAUGGCGUCGUCAUCCCUCUCCUGAUUGGCCCUAAUCGGCACGUGAUCAGAAAGGAUUCUGAUUGGCUUUGGUAGCAAAUCCUCUCGCCUUCAUAGGGAAGAUUGAAGUUUACUGGCCUUAACCAUUUAUGCCACGUUUGGACGAAAAAAGGGCCAAGCAUUUGGGCGCUUUCGACAACGUAGAAUCCGUUGGAUGGAGUUUGAGUUUUAUAUUUACUUUCCAGAAACCAAGUUUGAAUGCUUUAACGUUGAGCAAUUGGUAUUUGAUUCUCCCACGUUAGGUUGUAUUCAAAUUUAUUUCAGCCUUUUCCUCAGGUCAUAUUUUCUGGUUACAAAAUUGUGUUUCUGUGGCAAAUUUGUGAACGAAUUGCGUUAGAUAACCGUUCGCGAGGUCUUUCCACUUGCUUUCCAGGUAGGACCUUGCAGCCAACCUGGUACAUGCCACAGACUUACCAUCUUUUGUUAUUGUUUCCUGUCUGUUAUCUGAUGGUGGAAUGAUUCCGAUUUUGAGGGGACAAAGCUAAUUGCGUUGCUGCAUUAUUUAGCCUCCUAGUGCAAUGCAUUGGAAUUGCAGCAAGUGUUCUGCUAUUUUUUUCUAAUUGGUUUUAAGCAACACCAUAUUGUCCAGUGUCCUUAAUCGGGUUCUGGCUAAUAGGUUUUGGUACAACAAGUCAUGGUUUUGGUAUCACAUAAUCCUUUUAUUAUACUUAUGUGGUAAUCCCAGUAUAGUGAGAAUUAAGUUGUAUAUUUUUGUCUUUUCCAUUGACUAGUAGCAAUUUUGGGAUCAACUUUAUUCUUUUACUGUUUGCAUAGUUCUUUGACAAGUCCAAGGAUUCCUACUCUUCAAAGAUUCUUUUUAACAGCUUAAACAAAGCUGAAAUAACAGACAAAUUAUUAUUUGCUUACGUGGAUCAGUUAUGGUCAGUAUUCCUUUCCAUUGUUGGAUUCACGUUUACUGUGCACUUCACUACCUUGUUUUAUUGUUCGGGCUCGCUUAUUCCGCAAUAACAGUUGAAAUGAUGAUUGAAACGGAGAUCUCUAAGCAGCAACUCCUGGUCUCGUAUGAAUUAAAAGGUAUAUAUUUUAAGAAA